CGCAACCCUGAUCCAGCAAUCCCGCGUGCAGGACGAAGGCCUUCGGGUUGUAAACUGCUUUUGUACGGAGGGAAACGGCUUUCUCUAAUACAGGGGGCUAAUGACGGUMCCGUAAGAAUAAGCACCGGCUAACUACGUGCCAGCAGCCGCGGUAAUACGUAGGGUGCGAGCGUUAAUCGGAAUUACUGGGCGUAAAGCGUGCGCAGGCGGUUUUGUAAGACAGAUGUGAAAUCCCCGGGCUCAACCUGGGACCUGCAUUUGUGACUGCAAAGCUGGAGUGCGGCAGAGGGGGAUGGAAUUCCGCGUGUAGCAGUGAAAUGCGUAGAUAUGCGGAGGAACACCGAUGGCGAAGGCAAUCCCCUGGGCCUGCACUGACGCUCAUGCACGAAAGCGUGGGGAGCAAACAGGAUUAGAUACCCUGGUAGUCCACGCCCUAAACGAUGUCAACUGGUUGUUGGGUCUUUACUGACUCAGUAACGAAGCUAACGCGUGAAGUUGACCGCCUGGGGAGUACGG
rnacentral:rRNA from 1 species